GAGAGUAUAGUUCAGUGGUUGAAUGUCUGCCUAGCAUACACAAGGUCCUGGGUUCAAUCCCCACUACCUCCA
rnacentral:tRNA from 1 species